GACGAACGCUGGCGGCGUGCCUAAUACAUGCAAGUAGGACGCAGUUGCGAACGGGUGAGUAACGCGUAGGUAACUGCCCAUUAGAGGGGGAUAACUAUCUGAAACGAUAGCUAAUACCGCAUACUAGUAUAUGGACCUGCGUUGUAUUAGCUAGUAGGUAGGGUAAUGGCCUACCUAGGGGACGAUACAUAGCCGACCUGGGAGGGGGGACGGGCAAACUGGGACUGGGACACGGCCCAGAAUCCUAAGGGAGGCAGCAGGAGGGAAACUUCGGGAAUGGGGGGAAACCUGACCGAGCAACGCCGCGGGAGUGAAGAAGGUUUUCGGAUCGUAAAGAUCUGUUGGUAAGGAAGCGGUACUUAACCAGAAAGGGACGGCUAACUACGUGCCAGCAGCCGCGGUAAUAC
rnacentral:rRNA from 1 species